GCCUCGGUGAUGUAGUGGUAAAGCAAGCGUCCGUAGAUAGGACGAAACGCGGGUUCGCUUUCCGCCUGAGGCG